AUGGGCUCCCGCCGUCGUCGCAGUCUCACCACCUUAGUCCUGGUGCUCCUCUGCCUCUACCAUGCGCCGCGCAUGGCCCUGUCGCUCUCCUUCAACCUCAACUUCUCGGACCCCGGCGUCCCCAACCGCGGCGCGUCCAUCAACUUCGCCGGCCAAGCGUUCCUCAGCUCCUCCACCCUCGAGCUGACGACCAACACAAGCGAUGCACACAUCCAGUACAGUACCAGCCGGGCGUCGUACGUGCACAAAGUGCCGCUGUGGAACAGCGCCACCGGCGAGACGGCUAGCUUCACCACCACCUUCUCCUUCCGGAUCACCCCGGACAGGGACAGCCCGUCCGACGCCGGCGACGGGAUGGCCUUCUUCCUCGGCCAUUUCCCUUCGGUGAUCCCGGCCAAGAGCGAGGGCGGCAGCCUCGGCCUCCUCCCGGCCCUCACCAACGGGACGGGCUACACCCGGAUCGUCGCCGUCGAGUUCGACACGUUCCUCAACCCGCAGAACGCCGACGUGAACGGGAACCACGUCGGCAUCGACGUCAACUCCGUCAACUCCACGGCGUCCACGGACACGACGACCAUCCCGGGCAGGAACCUCACGUCCUCGCACGUUAUGACCGCCACUGUCAAGUACCACAAUGGGUCCAAGUUGCUGGCAGUUGAUCUCCUGAUCGACGACGCCAUGUACCAGGUCAAUGCAACCAUUGACCUGAGAAGGUAUCUGCCGGAGGAGGUUGCCAUCGGCUUCUCGGCGGCGACUGGCUGGGCCGCCGAGCUGCACCAGAUACUGUCAUGGUCAUUCAGUUCCACUCUGCAGCUGGAAUCCCAAUUGGAAUCCAACACGGAAGCGCCUCCGCCGUCUCAACUUCCUCCUCCGACCAGCAACAAGCACAAAAUGUUAGUAGUAACCCUGCUGUCCGUACUAGUUCCGCUGCUAUUUCUGCUGGCAUGCGUGGCCAUGGUAACGCUAUGGCGGCGACACGAGAAAAGAAGAUCAAAAAGAGCAAACGGGGACAGCAGCAGUGACAGCGACGACGAAGAACAUUGUGUGGACAGAGCUGGCCUCGAGAGAGGUGUUGCCGCCGGUGGCCCCAAACGGUACACGUACCACGAGCUCGUCGCUGCAACGAGCAACUUCGCGGAGGAGGAGAAGCUCGGGCGAGGCGGCUUCGGCAGCGUGUACCGAGGUAACCUCACGCUCGCCGUCGCCGGCGGUGACCAAGAGCGUCGCGCGGUGGCGGUAAAGGUGCUGUCGGCAGAGUCGUCGGCGCAGGGGAGGAAGGAGUUCGAGGCAGAGGUGAGGAUCAUCAGCAGGCUGAAGCAUCGCAACCUCGUGCAGCUGCUGGGCUGGUGCGACAGCCGCAAGGGGCUGCUGCUCGUCUACGAGCUGGUCGCCGAGGGCAGCCUUGACAGGCAUCUCUACAGCAAAGACAGGUUCCUGACAUGGCCGCAGAGGUACAAGAUCAUCCUCGGCCUGGGAUCGGCGCUGCGCUACCUCCACGGAGAGUGGGAGCAGAGCGUCGUCCACGGCGACAUCAAGCCGAGCAACAUCAUGCUCGACGCCUCGCACUGCACCAAGCUGGGGGACUUCGGCCUGGCCCGGCUCGUGGACCACGGCGCGGGAUUGCUGCAGACCACCAAGGCCGUGCUCGGCACCGCCGGGUACAUCGACCCGGAGUUCGUCAACACGCGCCGGCCCAGCACCGAGUCCGACGUGUAUAGCUUCGGCGUCGUCCUCCUGGAGAUCGUCUCCGGCCGGCGGCCCGUGGUUGAGACCGCGGAGAUAUCCUUCACGCUGCUCAGGUGGGUGUGGAGCCUGUACGGCAGGGACGCGGUCCUUGACGCGGCGGAUGAGCGGCUGAGGGGCGACGAGGCCGACGAGUGGUGGAUGGAGCGGGUGCUCGUCGUCGGGCUCUGGUGCGCGCACCCGGAGCGGAGCGAGCGGCCGUCUGUCGCGCAGGCCAUGAGUAUCCUUCAGUCCGAGGAGGCGAGGCUGCCGGCGCUCCCCCUGCAUGUGUACAGGACCGUGCCGGAUCUUGCGUCAUCCGGCCGGCACGGGGCGUUCUCCCCCGACGGCACCGAUCGCGUCGGCUCUUCUUUGGUCAACACCGGCGACGCCACUCUUUCUUCCGACUCGUCCCCGAUCGCGUUGCUACGACGUUCCAAGGAUCUAGCUAAUUGA
rnacentral:rRNA from 1 species